AAGAAUGUAAAAAUGAAACUAGGAAUGCUCAAAAUAGAUUUACGUAGCUCACAGUUUAUUAUCCUUUAUAUAUUAUAUUUAUUACAUAGUUCAGCUAUUCUUGAUUUACUAUACACACUCUAUUUUAGGUGAAAUUGUAAUUAUAUUCUGGUAUACUGAUAUCUCUAUAGGUUAUAUAAGGAAGCGUCUAUGUAAUGACGUUUAUAUUGUUAUGCCAAGGCCAAAAUAUUCAUUUAAAAAGGCCUGGUGCUGCUCCUCUUUGACAAGCCAUAUGUAUUCCUUCUAUUAUUCGCGACACAAAUGAAAAUACAUUUGACAACCGCGGAACAUUUUCCGAACAGCUCGUUGAACAGUUCCCGCUGGCCGAUAUUUCAAUUGAUUCUUCUGCUGUAUACUCGCCGGCAUCUU